UAUAUGAAAUGAAAAAACACAAUUCGGUUGGUAGUCCGGAUGCAUCAUAAUAAAUGAAUGUCAGUAGCCUUCCCCUCCUCGGGAUGUCCAUCAUUUCGUAGUAUUUU
rnacentral:ncRNA from 1 species